GGGCGGUUAGCUCAGCUGGGAGAGCGUCCGGUUUACACCCGGGAGGUCGCAGGUUCGAACCCUGCACCGCCCACCA
rnacentral:tRNA from 1 species